GAUGAUAGUUGUGCCAGGGUUUCAGCAGUAAAUAUAGUAGUGGUGGUUGGGUUAGGGACAGGCCAAUAGGACUUACUGACACCUUGGAAGUGAAGAGUAAGAAAAAGAGAGAGAUAAAUAAUGGCUAGAAUCAGCUGAGAGUCAUCAACUGCCAAAACUUCCAGAAGCAGGAGGAAUUGGUGACUUAGUCCUGGAGGGGCCUGCACAGCACACCCCCAAAGAAAGCCUCAUUCCUCCAAACUAAAACAUGGCAAUGCAAUUCAUCUGCUCUCUUCAUCCCAGAAAGAACUCUGCCAUCUUCCCUACCCUACCUACCACUACUGUCAUAGGAAUAGAGCAUGAGAGACCAAAUCUCCAGAAGGAAGAGAAGAAGACCUUAUGCCUCCAAUGUCUUCAUUCCUUGACCACUUUCCUCAUGGUCAGGUGAAUUCCUACUGAAAUCCUCUUUCCGGCUCUUCUAUCCCUAACAGAUGAAAUCAACCUACUGAAAUCCAGGUCUACUAGUGAAAUAAAACUAGGCAUAUUUUUUCACUGGAUGAACAUACAGCAUGAAGACAGGCACAUAUUCUGCUUGAUAAUUUCCUGUUCUGUACUUUUAACAUUUAUUUUAAAACCCUGCUUAUCCUGGAGCAAUCUAUUUCUCCAACCAAACAUGAAGCAAAUGUCUACUGUUUCCUGCGUUCCUUGUUUAGAGGGCCAGAGGUAUUAAGAUCCAGAAACAUGAUUGAGGAAAUUCCAUUUAAUUGAUAGUUUAUUGGUUGCAAAACUAUAAGCUCAUUGGAAGUAGGAAAUGUAUCUUACUGGACUUGACAUCUCCCAGAGCCCCUGGUAGAAGCUGCUGUUCAUGUUGAGCCCUCAAUGCUAUUGGGCUGAAAAAUGUUAUAAGAAUUAUCAUCUGUUUCCUAGAUGAAGAAGAGUUCAGAAUAUCCUUGAAAUAUUUAACUUCUGCAGAAAAGUGCAUGCUGUAUCAGUUUAAAAUACUAUGUAAUAUUGAUGUAGAGUUUUUCCAGUUAUGACUAGACUCUUCAUCCUAGCUUUCAAAGACUCAAUCCAGUGUCCACAAUUCACCUUGUUCAUCUUAUUUUGAGCAAUUAUGUCAUUUGGAGUCCAUUCCUCAAAUGUUCUGUUGUCCAUAACAUCCUCCUGUAUAUGAAUCCUACCUAAACUAUAUGUUCUUUUAAAAUAAAGAUCAAACUUUUAUUUAUUCAUCUUUAUAUAUCUUUUUCUAAGUUGCUCAACUGAGUUUGUGGAAAGUUUUUGAGAGAGAUUAAAGCAAACCAUUCAUGCUACAAAAGAGCAAAACGAAAGAUAAUUAAAGUAUUAAGAUCAAAGAAAAGGGGAUAUUGCAAAAAAUGCCAAAUGGAAGGCUCAACAUUAUUGAUUCAGUUUCAAUCUUGGGUCUGAGCAUCCUAAAAGCCAAUGGGUAAAAGAAAAUAGGAAUUGUCCUAGUUCUUAUCAGAAAGAAGCAAGCAGAACAGGUCUAAAAAAGCUAUGCCUAGUAUGAUUCUCACAAGGGAUUCUGUAAUGAGGGAUGCAAUUAGCAUUUCACAGAAAAUACAUUUAGAAAUUGUGUAUGCUGUUUCCUACAAGUCCUUCCAAAAAUGGUGAUGGCCAUGUCCUUUUAUCACUAAUGUACUGCAAACUAACAGCUGCUAGAUAAAUGUUAUCAGUGUUGACAACUCUGGGUGCACAUCUGUGUUUAAGCAAAAUGUUCCUUUUUUGGGAAUACUCUUCUCCAGUACCUUCAUGAUUUGAACCUUAUCUAUUCUUCCAGGCUCAGCCCAAAACUCAAACCUGACCUCCAUGAAGACUUCCUUCCUCAUGUUGAUUUUCUUACUCUGCAUUAAUGUGAGAGUUCUGCAUACGGAACUUAGUGUUUUUGUUUAAACAUUGUUUUAGAGUUGCUCAGUAAGUAUGCCUUUCCCUUCAACUAGCUGGUAUGAAACAUUAAAGAUGGCUGCAAUUUCUUUUGUACUUCUCUCAUGGAGAAGAAGAGUCUAAUUAUCCUCCCAUUGAAUCUGGGCUGGCCUUGGUGACUUGCUUGACCAAUAGAAUAUGGUAGAAGUAAUGUCAUGGCAAUUCAGGCUUAUCUUCUCAGACAACUAGCACAUUCUCUCUGGACUUCUUAGAACCCUGAUGUGCCAUGUUGUAGAAAUUCUAAGCCAUGAGAAAAAGCCACAUGCAGGUACUUUUGUUAACAGUCGCAACUGAGCCUAGCCUUCCAUCCAUCUAUUUUAUGAACUAGGCCUAUGCUGAAGCUGUCCUGGGCUCUCUAGACAGUCCAUCAACCAGCUGACCACCACCAAGUGACCUCCAUCAAUGCCAUCCGGAACUAAAGAAUUCUCAUCCAAUUCCUGCCUGAAUUCCUAUAGAAUCUUGAAAUCGAAUGAAAUGUUGAUUGUUGUAAGACAUUAAAUCUUGGGAUUAUUUGUUAUGUAACAAUUGAUAGCAAAUCAGUCAUAAGCAUCCAGAGGCUAUUUGUUGAAGCGAUUGGAUAAAUGAAGUAGAAUACAUGAUGUAAAUCUAAAUCAUGUAUUUUACUUCAUUUACCCAUUCACUUCAACACAGAGCUGUGGAAUACCCACCAUGUACAAGGCAAUGUUGUAGGAGCUGGAGAUAAAAUGAAAUGAAUGAGACAAAUAUCUCUGUCACACUAGUAGGGGAGACAAAGAAUGAACAUGAAAACAAAUAAUGUUAUUAAAUACUUUUGUAAUAUCCAAAUUGCCAGGGACAGCGCUAACUAUAGAAAGUAGUGACUAAUGAAGGCUGCAUUUCUAUGCACACACAACACAGCUAAAUGUGUCAUUCCCAACUUUACCUAAAAAAAAGCAAACAAAGAAACUUAACUGAAUCCAAGCAUUUAGUAGACUAAGUUACUAACAAGACAAGUCAGAUAAGCCAGAGAGGUUUAUAAACAACACAUUUCUAGUACAAAUGGGUAUAAUGAAAAGAUGUUUACCUGUUUUUUUUUUUUUUCUGAAAAGCAGUGUCUUCUUUGCCUUUGGAGUCCUAAAACUUUUAUUAGGAAAAAAGGGGGCAAACCCCCAGCUUUUCAGAAAUGUAGGUUAUUCCCUAACCAGCGUAGAAUGUAUUGCUCCAUAAAAUGUCAACAUCAAAACAGUAUAGAAAAAAUAAUUACAGACAGUAUUAGUGUUGUAAGCUGAUAAGGACCAGAUGGUCUUUUGUAUUUAUGGUUUUCCUUGUGCAUACAAAUGCUUUGGGGAUCUAAUUAGCCUUCUACAAAACUCAAACUGGGUAAUUACUAUCAUUAUCCCCUUUUCAAAUAAAUCUGAAGUCUAAACUGCAAUUAUGUUUUUUAUCUUACAUUUGGUAUUCGCACAUUUUAAGAAUUGUUCUUUGCCAUCUACUCAGAAAACUUCUUAACAUGGACUGAAGUAUAUAAAAUGCAGGAAGAUUAUCAAAAAAACACUUUUUGGAAAAAAUGGCUCACUCUGUUAGAGGAAAGUGCUGACAGCCAUGGAAGCAAGCACUUCCUCAACAAGUCCCGCCUCUGUCAUAUUUUCACUCCAAUCAAGAAGAAAGUCCCUCUUCCCCAAGACUUUAUAUUUCCAGUUAUGCUUUGCACAGCAAAAGAGAAGAAUCACUACAUGGAGACAUAACCAGUCACGCAUGUUAGAGAAAGGAUUCUCUGUGAGAUGCGAUGUGGCAGCCGCUUCAAUUAACUUCUGACUCUGCCCCCAAAGUGCAAUACCUGGGCCAGCAAUGAGCUAUGAAAAGGCAGCAGUGCGCAUAACAAGCCUGGUAUGUCAUCUUUAUGGGUUUUUUGGCCUCAGGACAGUCAAGUCACGUGGUAACAUCUCUGUAUUGCAAAGCAAAGGGGACGUAAUCACAUGUGUCCGUGAACUCAUAAUAGAAAAUUCAUAAAAGUCUAUCUCCAGUGAGAAGUAUGUGAAAAGGGGUGUUAGGAAGUGAACAUUUUAUUUUAGGCACAAGGCCAAGGAUCAGAGUUAUCGGGGGGGCGGGGUGGUAUGUGUGUCUUCCUCGAUAGAACAAAACACAGUGACAGGUAUCAGAAACUACUUCUUCCUCAGCAUCACCCAGUGAGGAAGUCAGGAAUAUUCAGGAUGUUGGCUUGACAUCUCAAAAUUUAGCAUUAUGAUUACUGAUCCAGGGGUCAAAAUCCAAAAAUAAUUGAUAGAGGGAACCCUCAGACCUGCAACUCAUGAACAUAAUUGAUAGAGAGAAAACCCAUGACCUGCAACUGAGCAGGGUACUUGGCACUAGGGAGGCACUUUUACUAAAAAGAGAUGCUAUAUGUCAAUGCAGGCUUCAGAGGCACCCCCACCCCUGGCCUGCCUGACAAAAGGAUGGCUCUGGGGCUGCCACCUUGGCCCCCGGCCCUGGAGACUGCCCUGGGCUGCCCUCGCAGGCAGCAGCAGAGGCACCCAGGCAUUGACAAGGAUGGCUGCAAGGUCAGCACUUUAUUCUCCCUGAUAUGAUGACAGUAACCUUUGCAAUGCACUGAAAAGAAUCUAGAAGGCAUGUAGCCAUUCUUUUAUCCAUUCAACAAAUAUUUACUAGGCAUCUACUUAGUGUGAUAAAUCACAUGAGGCAAUUUGUGCAAGUUCAGAUGUCAACAAAACAUUGGCCUUGGAAAUAUUGUCAGGUUCCAAUCAUAAAAGUCCCCUACCCAAUACCGUAUGAGAACAAAAGUGCUUAGGUGGCUUGGUGUGUUUGCACACAAGCAGUGGUAAAGUUUUUGCAUCUUAGGCUUCUGUGAGAGCCUGGGGUGUUUAUGGGCAGUGAUCACAAUUGGGGAAUUCAUAAUGCCAGGGACUGUCUUCAUCUAUCUCUGAGUGUAUAUAUCUCCUUGUAACAGCACCUUAAUAUUUGUACAGUCAUUUUUAUAGUUUACAGUGUAUCUUUACCCUCAUCAUCCUCCUUGUUGGAAGCAUAACAAGUGAUCUUAUCCCAAUUUCACAGAUGGACAAGAUGGAUGGGAGACAUUAAGGGACUUGCCCAAAGCUAUGCAGCAGUAAGAAUCCUAAGCAGGACUCACAUGCAGGUUUUCUCACUACAUGAAAAACCUACAAACUUUCUGGACACUGCACUGGCUGAUGAGGGUUUUUCCUGAAGCCUCUGAGCAGAAGUUGGGUGUCAGGGCAGCUCACUGCAGGGCUGUCUGGGCAGCUUGUUUAGGUGACUUAGGCUGCUUGGCAUCUUAAAUGCCCCUUUGCUUCUGACGGUGCAGGUCCAAAGCCCAGGGGAAAUUUGAAUUAGGGCAAGACCACAGUAUCUGCAUUAAUUUGCAACCUGAUGUAAUAGAAAGAACAAAGAUUUUCAGUUAGUAGGUUCAGGUUCAAGGCUCAGCUUGGUCCACAUGAGCUCCAUGAAGUAAUUUAAUCUCUUUGGGAUUUGGCUUCGUUAUAAGAAAUCAUGUCUGUGUUGUGUAGCAAUUUAAAGCAAAAGAUAAGCAUCCUGAGGCUGAAAUAAUGUAUUCUGCUUCAUUUAUUCAUUCAUAUUACCUCACAGGGUCACUAGGAUAAUUGAAUGAGAUGGCAUGGACAAAGCCCAGGUACAGUGCAUGGCAGAGUAAGGGUUAGCUCUGUUCCAUUUUCUGUCAGAUUUUCUGUGGGUUUUGUUUUACUCUGCAAAGGAGAGAAGGAUAUGCUUAAGAGUUCCCAUCAUGGGAAUGCCCCAGGACUCUAGGCAUCUAGAGAAAGCCUUUUUGCUGGCUAAAUGUCAGCAAGGCAGCUGGAGGGAAGUGUCAGUCAUGACAUAGUCUGCUGUCUCCCAGUAAGUAAAGGGUAAGAAGCCCUGUCUCAAUGCUCUCUAGAAAUGCUCAGCCAAUCCUCAAAUGGGCAGUAAUGCAUCACUAUCUGCCUUGUUUAAUGAUGGAAAUUAAAGGCAAAAACAAUAGCAACCAUGUCUGCAUUUUCAUAAGCAUUUCUUGCUGAUUUAAAUAUAGUCUGUGAAUUCUCUGGUCAGGAUGAAAUCCAAAAUACCUUCCAUAUCCACUUAGCAGAAUGGGCUUCCUGCCAGUCAAAUGGUUGUGUGGGGCCCAGAAAAUAAUUGAGAUGACAGUCCAGUUUUGCACUGGAGGUUAAAAUAUCAAAUUGUAUCAGUUCUAUGUCUGAUGUUGAUUCAUCCUGCCAGCUUACUGGGUUCUGAGGAUGACAACUAAAGCAGUGAACUGGCCAUGUUCCCACAUGAGGGCAUCUCUGAGUCAUGGCACUGGAGAACCCAAAGGCAAUCACAGCACAGGGUGAAGAUGGGAAAAGAGGAUGAGGCUUAAAGCCCAGGCAGAUCUGGCAGAAACUUUUCCUCUACCAGCAUCCAUGGCUGGCUUGGAUCAGUUCCUCAGGUUCUGAAAGGCAGAACACAAAGGAAGAUCCACAGCCCCCCUUUUCAGAUACAUGCAUUUCAUGACCUGCCACAGCUGUUCCCAUUUGGAAGAAUGGACAUGUGGUCCAGGUUGGAUCAAUGGCUUUCAUGAAAAUUCAGACUUCCUCAAACGGCUUCUACAAGUGUGCAUUGUGCCUCCCUUCAACCUCAUGUUGCAGAGAUCUCAACAUUCCAGUAGCAUUUGGUAUUGGUAUAUACUUUUUCAGCUAUUAAGAACCAUUGUUUUUGUUUGCUUGAGUUUUACAGUUAUAGCAAUAAACUUUGUUUCUAAACUUAACAUAAAUGAUAAAGUGACAAAAUGAUUAUAGCAUGUUUGCAGGGGGUACCCCCAAAAGACAUAUCUAUUCUAGCCCUUGGAAUACGUGAAUGUGAUGCUAUUUGGAAAAAGGAUCUUUGUAGAUAUAAUUAGGUUAAAGACUUCAAGAUGAGAUCAUCCUAGAUUACCUGGGUAGACCCUAAAUCCAAUGACAGAUAUCCUUAUAAGAGAAAGGCAGAGGGGGAUAUGGAACAUGGAGUGGAAAGCAAUGUGAAGACAGAGGCCGAGAUUGGAGUGACGCAGCCUCAAGCCAAGGAAUACCUGGAGCCACUGGAAGCUGGAGGAAGCAGGGAAGAAUGCUUCCCUAGAGCCUUCAGAGAGGGCAUGGCCUUGCGGAAACCUUGAUUUCAGACUUCUGGCAUCCAGGACUGUGAGAGAAUAAAUGCCUGAUGUUUUAAGCCAUGAAGUUUCUGGUAACUUGUCAUAUUGGCCCUAGGAAACUAAAAAGCUAUUAGAGUACAUUUAUAAUUAUGCAGAUAUUUAGCAUAUAUGUUAAAUAAAUAUAUAAAUACAUAUUAUGUAUCUGGG
rnacentral:lncRNA from 10 species